rnacentral:rRNA from 1 species
GACAGAGGCCUCAAGCGUUAGGCGGAAUCACUGGGCUUAAAGCGUGUGUAGGCGGAUCGUUAAGUGUCUUGUGGAAAUCCCAACGGCUCACCCGUCGGAACUGCUGGGCAUACUGGCGAUCUUGGGCCAACUAGGGGCAACUGGAACAAGCGGUGGAGCGGAUGAAAUGCGUAGAUAUCGCUUGGAACGCCAAAGGUGAAAACAGGUUGACGUGGGGUUGUGACCGGACGCUGGAGACACGAAAGCCAGGGGAGC